rnacentral:lncRNA from 1 species
GUUGAUACAAAAAAGCACAAAUUCAUUUCUGCACAGAUUGGAGAGGGGCCUACUCAUAUCAAUGGAUUUCUUUCUGUUGGAGGGUUUGUACCAGCUCUGCCUGAAGUCAGUUUCAGUUUCUGCUGACGUUGACAGGGAAUAGGCUGAGCAGCAAUGUCUCUUGUUUCUGCAUUCCAGAAAAAGCUAAUUUCCAAUAUAGAACUGACCCGAUAUUACUAUAUAAUAAUGAUUUUCAUGUCAUAUUCCUGUUACAAGAAGUGAUGCUUGUAAUUUUCAGAAAUCACAACCAUCUCACUUAAAACUACAAUUUUAGUUCCACCAAGUGAAUGCUCUGACAGACAUCUUUAUUUUUCUAAUUAUACCCUCUCUGCAUGAGGCUUAGCUAUAAUUAUAGGAAAUUAGGGAACGACUCUGCUGUGGAAGCGUAAUAACAACUUCUGUUACUAUUUUUAGGAUCUGUUAUGAAAAUGUAGAUAUGAAUGUUUGACUUCCAAGUCUCACAUUUAUCAGGUCUUUAUAUGCUGGGAAACCUGGUUGACAGAGGCAGCCAAACUCUUUUUAGUUAGGUAGGCCAACUUGAGUUUCCUACCCAGAGAAUGCUGGAGGCUUCCAAGUUUGUUUGUUUGUUUGUUUGUUUAUUUAACACUAACAACAAUAACAGCAACAAAAAAAAAGGUCAGCAGAAGAGGAAAAAGGGAAGGAGGGCUGAGAGCAGGGAAGUGGGGUUUGGGAUGAAAGCUGAGAAAAAAAACACUAAUUAAAAUAGGAAGCUGAGAGAGGGAAAGAACAUUUUGGGAGGGCUGUAAGAGGAGAAUGAGACAAGUAAUAGUAGAGUCCAUUUUGGAUGAAGACAAAGUUAUCUUUCUUUUUGUUCCCCUCUUUUCUCUCCUUUCAUUCAGCCUCCCCUGUGCCCUGAGAGACCCUGGCGCUACCUGCCUACCCCUGCAGCUGCCUAGUGCCAAGCAACUGUCACCACCCCUGAUUUCUCCUGUUCUCUCUGGGUUUGGUACGAUGUCUGCCUGA